UUCCCUAUCCCUUCCCUCCCUCCGCCUCCUCCUCUCUCCAGCUUCCUCCUCCGCACGGCCCGCAGCCUCCUCCCACCUCUUCUUUCUCCUCCGUCACCGGCGAAGCGCGAGGCAAAGGAGAUGACAGCGUGAAGUGCGUCGUCCUUGGCACCGGAGAAGCGGGAGGCGAAGGAGAUAACGGCGUGGAGGGCGUCGUCCUCGGCGCCAGAGAACUGCACCUUCUUCCUCAUUUCUCUCGGAUGCACCUUCUUCCUCAUCUCUCACUGUGUGACGAAGGGACUCGCGUGUCACCGGCGUGUCCGUGGCAUUGACCCGACACGUGUCGGCUGCGUGUCCGACACCGACACGGACGCCUCCCCAGCUUGUCGGUGCUUCGUAGCUUGUACCGUAUCAUUUAGCCAUGCGACAAUUUUACUCGAGGAGUCUUUGAUAGAAAGCUACAUCACAUAAUGAAGAUAUAGAUUUUGUCCGAGAGGCGUUUGCUAGUGCGGAGCAAAUUGAAAGUAGAGCUGACCGUCUAAGCAUUGGAACUGAAGUACUGUAUUUGUACUCAAGCACUGAUAUUGCGACAUACUAGAACAAAUUAAAGUUCUUUCACCUCAAACUUUGAUGUCGAUGCAAUUCAGGCAGUUUAUUUAAAAGGAGUGGCUAGAAAUGCUAGAGGUUCACAGGUAACAUCUUUGCAAUCUCCCCACUGGCAAGAGGCAAAAAUGAUCUGAAUUCAGGAGAUUAGUGAUUGAGUUUAGGGAACUCGAAUUUGUGAAGUGAUCUUGUGUUGCCAAAAGUUCUUUUGCCUAAAGUUAUUUCACUUCUCUUGUGAGAUUGACCGGUAUUACUAGCAUGUGGUCGUUGUCACAUAUUCAAGUGAGUUUUUCUGAUAAUUCUAUUGGUUAAUCAAGCAACUUUACCUGAUAUUUAAGAGUACUGAUAUUGAUCGCUUCAUCUUGACUAUCUUUGUAAAUGAACCGAGGACAAAUGUGUGAUGGAUCUUGACAUUGAUUUGUGGCUGGUGAAAGAAUGUACAUCAGAAUUGCUUCGUUUUGCAAAGAAGACAAACAUUCCCGUAUUAUUGGUAUUCGAAAUUUAUUAGUCUCAUCGUUUGUUUUGUACAUGGUAAAUAACCUACAUAUUUGGACCAUUCCUAUAUGAUGUUAUAGCAUCUAUGUCAGCCCAUGCAGCUUUACUGUCUUGGUGAUAUUUAAGUUGCUGUAACAACCAAUCUUUCAAGAAGAUUUUGCUUAUGUGAGUCCCCACUCUUGUUGAUUAUAUGUUUCAAAUUGGACAUGUGAAAAAAUCUGGAGAAAUAGCUAUUCCCAGAGCUUUGGGGCACACUGUGGAUGUCGUUUUGUAUCUGGAAGCUGGUACCUUUAUCAACAUUUCUUUUGUUGUAUUGCUAGUGGAUUUGCUGAAGCUGUGGCGUAACUGUAGC